UACGUAGGGACCAAGCGUUGUUCGGAUUUACUGGGCGUAAAGGGCGCGUAGGCGGCAAUUCAAGUCAUCUGUGAAAUCUCCGGGCUUAACCCGGAACGGUCAGAUGAUACUGCUUUGCUAGAGUGCAGGAGAGGCUAACGGAAUUCCCGGUGUAGUGGUGAAAUGCGUAGAUAUCGGGAGGAACACCAGUGGCGAAGGCGGUUAGCUGGCCUGUAACUGACACUGAGGCGCGAAGGCUAGGGGAGCGAACAGG
rnacentral:rRNA from 1 species